GGCCAGACUCCUACGGGAGGCAGCAGUGGGGAAUAUUGCACAAUGGGGGAAACCCUGAUGCAGCAACGCCGCGUGAGUGAGGAAGUAUUUCGGUAUGUAAAGCUCUAUCAGCAGGGAAGAAAAUGACGGUACCUGACUAAGAAGCCCCGGCUAACUACGUGCCAGCAGCCGCGGUAAUACGUAGGGGGCAAGCGUUAUCCGGAUUUACUGGGUGUAAAGGGAGCGUAGACGGCAUGGCAAGCCAGAUGUGAAAUACCGGGGCUCAACCGCGGAACCGCAUUUGAAACUGUGCUUCUUGAGUGCUGGAGAGGCAGACGGAAUUCCUAGUGUAGCGGUGAAAUGCGUAGAUAUUAGGAGGAACACCAGUGGCGAAGGCGGUCUGCUGGACAGUAACUGACGGUGAGGCGCGAAAGCGUGGGGAGCAAACAGGAUUAGAUACCCCUGUAAG
rnacentral:rRNA from 1 species